CUCAUGGUUACAUUCAAACCGCCAAAAAUUAGGUUAAUUUAUAGUGAAAGCGAGACUCAUCUUAGGGUUUCUCUUCCGCAUCGUCGUCACCACCUCCCACCUCCUCGUGUGGCUUCUUUCUCUAAGAGCAGAGGAGAAAUACAAUGGGUAGAUGUCCGACGAGGAAAGUGAAGAAGAGGCGUUUGUCUCACAAAACAGCUCGUCGUGACAAAUUCGAAGUCAAAGAUAUCCUUUUCCUAAGAUUUGAUGAAAAUAUAAUGUUUUUCUUUUUCUUUUCCGUUGUGUUUGCCUUGACGGAGCUUUUUUUCACGCGACGAUUUGGUGUAUACGGAGUUGCGUAAACCAGAGGCGGAGGUCAAGCCUUUGAAGCUUGACGAGGAUUUGCCCGGAAUGGGUCAAUUCUACUGUUUACACUGCGAUCGGUACUUCUCCAAAGCGUCUGUGCGAGAUGACCAUUUCAAGACGAAGAAACAUAAGAAGCGUGUGAAGAUAAUGAAUGGACCAGCGCCACACUCACAACUCGAUGCAGAUUUAGCCGCUGGAAUGGGAAUCCCGGACAAUGGUCCGAAGCUCAUGAUGGCUGCUUGAGUUUACUUCAGUUUACUUCAUUAUCUUUCACACUGCAACAGUUUAUGGAAAACCUAGAUUGUUGUUGGUAGAUGGUCCUUAGUAGUUAAACUAUAUAAUUCCUAAAUUAAUGAUAUGUUUUUUUUGUUCUU